AGAGUUUGAUCAUGGCUCAGGACGAACGCCGGCGGCGUGCUUAACACAUGCAAGUCGAACGGAAAGGCCCUUCGGGGUACUCGAGUGGCGAACGGGUGAGUAACACGUGGGUGAUCUGCCCUGCACUUUGGGAUAAACCUGGGAAACUGGGUCUAAUACCGAAUAUGACCAUGCACUUCCUGGUGUGUGGUGGAAAGCUUUUGCGGUGUGGGAUGGGCCCGCGGCCUAUCAGCUUGUUGGUGGGGUAAUGGCCUACCAAGGCGACGACGGGUAGCCGGCCUGAGAGGGUGACCGGCCACACUGGGACUGAGAUACGGCCCAGACUCCUACGGGAGGCAGCAGUGGGGAAUAUUGCACAAUGGGCGCAAGCCUGAUGCAGCGACGCCGCGUGAGGGAUGACGGCCUUCGGGUUGUAAACCUCUUUCAGCACAGACGAAGCGCAAGUGACGGUAUGUGCAGAAGAAGGACCGGCCAACUACGUGCCAGCAGCCGCGGUAAUACGUAGGGUCCGAGCGUUGUCCGGAAUUACUGGGCGUAAAGAGCUCGUAGGUGGUUUGUCGCGUUGUUCGUGAAAACUCACAGCUUAACUGUGGGCGUGCGGGCGAUACGGGCAGACUUGAGUACUGCAGGGGAGACUGGAAUUCCUGGUGUAGCGGUGGAAUGUGCAGAUAUCAGGAGGAACACCGGUGGCGAAGGCGGGUCUCUGGGCAGUAACUGACGCUGAGGAGCGAAAGCGUGGGGAGCGAACAGGAUUAGAUACCCCGGUAGUCC
rnacentral:rRNA from 1 species